UCACGGAGUCUCAGCUGCUCAGGGACACAGGUGUCUUAAUCAUAAGUGUUGGCAUUGGAGUGACCAAUACAGAUGAGCUGGAAGCCAUGGCCAGCAAGCCAGAGUACGUCUUUACCACUGGUAGCUACGAGAGUCUGGACUACAUCAAGCGAGACCUGGUCCAACUGGCAUGUAAUAACUGAGAGUUUGCUAGUGGAGAAGUCAUGCCAACGUUUGAAAGAACGGCAUAAAGAAGUAAUAAUACAUUAAAAAAACACUUGUUUUAAAUAAAAAUAUUAAUGAAUACAAAA
rnacentral:sRNA from 1 species